UUUGAUGCUAACGAGUUCACCUUUUGUUAGUGUAGGGUACAUUUCUCCCUUGACUCUCUCUAUCCUGUUCACUGGGCCCAUAUCUCUGCAGCAUGCUCUAGGGAGCUCAGCCAGUACCACCUCCAGUCCUGUGAGAGAGACCUGCCAUGCCUCGGCCCUAGUGCACCCUUUCUUGAACUGAUUCCAAGCUCUGCCUUCAUUGGCACGGAAGGCAGAGAGGACACUGCCAGCCCCAGCCUGCCCCAACCUGCUAGUGACCUCUCCAGGGCCCUGGAAGCCCAGUGACUCAGCAUGACUUAACAACCUGGCUUUCCAUGGGAGCCGAGAUAAUUUGCCACAUAUCCAGUGCAGGAUAAAAGCUGACGCUAUUUGGAAGAACAAUUCUAAGUUAAUAAUGAGAGGAAAAAAAGAAAGCCAGAUGUCUUUCCACUCUAGAGACAGGUUUUAGGACAGACAGAUACUGGGAGGUAGGGUCUGGGCCUUGCUGCUUUGGUCCAGGCCGGGGGUUACUACAGGACUCUUCUUUCUUGGUCAGAAGUGAUAAGGUUUAUUCCAAACUCUAAGAUGAUGUAACAUGUUGACCUUCUCUUUUUUGUAAGCUACAUGGACAGAUGGCCACUUGACAAGGUCGUACAAACACUGGGAAUUGGCUGACUCCGAAGUCGACGUUGGGGUUUUCAUUGCUGUGACUACCAAGGUACUUCAAAGCCACCAAGGGUGACCUUGUGUCCGAAUGCAAACUCAGAGGAGAAAAAUUUUGUCACUACAGCUUAAAACCAUGAGAACAAACCUAUCAAGGACAAGACUUGGGCCAGACUGCAGGAGAGGAGGCCUCCAGCCUGAUGUCCGGAGUUGGUAUCUGGUGGGAUUAAGAGAUACCGGGGCAUCCUGAUGACACUAGGAGGGGCACGUGGAAGUCCAGACCCCAAGUGGGAGAGGUAACUCAUAAUUUAUCAAGAUGUGAGCUCUCACCUAUUGCCCCAGCACCAUGCCUGCCUGCCUGCUGCCAUGUUCCCUACCAUGAUGGUCAUGGACUCACCAUUUGAAACUUUAAUUCCUAAUAAAGACCUUUUCUUUUAUAA